UACGGAGGGAGCUAGCGUUGUUCGGAAUUACUGGGCGUAAAGCGCACGUAGGCGGCUAUUCAAGUCGGGGGUGAAAGCCCGGGGCUCAACCCCGGAACUGCCCUCGAAACUAGAUAGCUAGAAUCUUGGAGAGGCGAGUGGAAUUCCGAGUGUAGAGGUGAAAUUCGUAGAUAUUCGGAAGAACACCAGUGGCGAAGGCGACUCGCUGGACAAGUAUUGACGCUGAGGUGCGAAAGCGUGGGGAGCAAACAGGG
rnacentral:rRNA from 1 species